rnacentral:rRNA from 1 species
UGGGGAAUUUUCCGCAAUGGGCGAAAGCCUGACGGAGCAAUACCGCGUGAGGGAUGACGGCCUAUGGGUUGUAAACCUCUUUUUUCAGGGAGGAAUCAAUAACGUGUACCUGAAGAAUAAGCAUCGGCUAACU